UAGCCUAGUGGUUAAGGCUAUGGAUCGCUAAUCCGGAAACGGCGGGUUCGAUUCCCGU
rfam:Aedes albopictus isolate Foshan contig47545, whole genome shotgun sequence.